rnacentral:misc_RNA from 1 species
GUCACAACAAUAAUUGCGUAAUCUUUUUUAAAAAAUUGAGAUUCAAUUCAACAGUAAUAUAAAAAAAUUAAAUUAAAUUAAAAUAUUUUAUGCGAUUUUGAGUUUAAAAUAAUUAGAGAUACUAAAAAAAAGAGAAAAUUAAAAAGGCACGUUUGAUGAUUUAGAGUUUCAUGGGGCCAGCAAUUGAGCGGUAAAUAAAAAGGGCAUGGAUAGAUUAGUAACAAAAAGAAGCGUAAUAGACUACGUUCUUCGCUUUUAUUUAGAGGUGGCAACACGAGUAGGCUGGUUAUGAUUAGAGUAUAUAUAAAUUCGACACGAUGAAUGAAUUAUAUUAAAAUAUAUAUAAAUAUGAAUACUACUCAGAUUACAUGACGUGCAUGACAUGGUUAAUUUUAAAUCAUAUUGGCUCUCUUUUUUUUUUUUUAAUUUAUGCAAAACUAUGUAUUAGAAUUUUAUUAUUUUGAGUAUAAUUAUAGACAAAUUUAUAUAACUAUUUACUUAAUCAGUGUCUUAGCACACAUUAGAAAAUUUUAUCAUUUAUUUUCAGGAGAAUUCAUUCUGCUUAAAUUUCCAUGUUAUAUGUGUUAGAUAUUGGCAUCUCAUUAUGUUAUUUUUGGCAGCCUCC